AGCUUGUCCGAUGGUGUUGAGUUAUCAGAACUUAUUAACAUUAGUGUCACUAAAAUUGGUAUAUAGACCCCCACUGCUAAAUUUGGCCUAAA
ensembl:misc_RNA Y_RNA Y RNA